CCUACGGGUGGCAGCAGUAGGGAAUCUUCCACAAUGGGCGACAGCCUGACGGAGCAACGCCGCGUGGGUGAAGAAGGUCUUCGGAUCGUAAAACCCUGUUGUUAGAGAAGAAAGUGCGUGAGAGUAACUGUUCACGUUUCGACGGUAUCUAACCAGAAAGCCACGGCUAACUACGUGCCAGCAGCCGCGGUAAUACGUAGGUGGCAAGCGUUAUCCGGAUUUAUUGGGCGUAAAGGGCACGCAGGCGGUCUUUUAAGUCUGAUGUGAAAGCCUUCGGCUUAACCGGAGUAGUGCAUUGGAAACUGGGAGACGUGAGUGCAGAAGAGGAGAGUGGAACUCCAUGUGUAGCGGUGAAAUGCGUAGAGAUAUGGAAGAACACCAGUGGCGAAAGCGGCUCUCUGGUCUGUAACUGACGCUGAGGUUCGAAAGCGUGGGUAGCAAACAGGAUUAGAUACCCCAGUAGUC
rnacentral:rRNA from 1 species